CUUGACUGUAUCCUGGAAUUGGGUUCGGGCUUUUCUUGCGCAGUCUAGGUGGGAGGCUAUGAAGAUUUCCUUCCGGGGAAGUUGGAGCCAUCAGUGAGAGACCACUCUGGAGAGGCUAGAAUCCUAAUGGUGAUCCUUGAAUCAGGACACUUGACAGUUUCAGGUGGGCAGUUUUUCUGGGGCGGAAGCCUCAUAAAGGGUAACUGAGGCGCGCAAAGGUCCCCUCAGUCUGGACGGAAAUUAGACAUUGAGUGUAAAGGCAAAGGGGGGCUUGACUGCAAGACCUACAAGUCGAGCAGGAGCGAAAGCUGGCCUUAGUGAUCCGACGGUGCCGUGUGGAAGGGCCGUCGCUCAACGAAUAAAAGUUA
rnacentral:rRNA from 1 species